GAUGAACGCUGGCGGCGUGCCUAAUACAUGCAAGUCGAGCGAACGGACGAGAAGCUUGCUUCUCUGAUGUUAGCGGCGGACGGGUGAGUAACACGUGGAUAACCUACCUAUAAGACUGGGAUAACUUCGGGAAACCGGAGCUAAUACCGGAUAAUAUUUUGAACCGCAUGGUUCAAAAGUGAAAGACGGUCUUGCUGUCACUUAUAGAUGGAUCCGCGCUGCAUUAGCUAGUUGGUAAGGUAACGGCUUACCAAGGCAACGAUGCAUAGCCGACCUGAGAGGGUGAUCGGCCACAAUGGAACUGAGACACGGUCCAGACUCCUACGGGAGGCAGCAGUAGGGAAUCUUCCGCAAGGGGCGAAAGCCUGACGGAGCAACGCCGCGUGAGUGAUGAAGGUCUUCGGAUCGUAAAACUCUGUUAUUAGGGAAGAACAUAUGUGUAAGUAACUGUGCACAUCUUGACGGUACCUAAUCAGAAAGCCACGGCUAACUACGU
rnacentral:rRNA from 1 species